CAUAAUGAGCGACGAUGACCCACGCAGACAUGAACGGUCGCUAGACGUGAUCAUUCACCUAACCCACCCUUCGACCGCGGAUAUCAACACCAACACCAAUCGACACGGCGAGAAGGAGAGAUGCGAGGAGCUUCAUCACCUCCGUCAAUCCUCCGGUGGAUGGGAGAUGGCAUCACCAGCCUUAAUUGGAGCAUGCCAAGCUCCAUCUUCCGGUGGCCAUCGUUCGACCUCUCCGGGCUCACCCCAAGCUGGGCCGGCACGGUGUCACAGUGGCCGGGGAUCGGCUUUUCCUUCGUCGACAGCAUCCUUUGGACCCUCGUCGUCGCAUUCGAGACCCUCGCCUUGGUGGUCACCAUGUGUCUGUUCUUUGUCUUCUGUGGUUGCAGCAUUUGAGCUAGGCUCUACGGAACACAAAUGUUGGUGAGACCCAUGAAACAGGAUCAAGCCAUGUAGGCUUAUUUGCUGAAGCAAUCACACAAACAGAACACUUGCAUGUGCUGCGGGAGCAGGGCGAUCCGGAAGCUUGCCAGUAUUUGUGGUGUGGGUUUUGUAAUCUUAAUAUUUGGUAAUGAUGCUGGGAAUUUUGUGCAUGGACGCAAUUGAGAUGAUGUUUCAAUAAAAUUAUUUUGGACCCAUUUAGUUCG